GGAUAUGAGGGCAAUCUGGCUGUGACAUCUGUCACCCCAUUGAUUGCCAGGGUUGAGUUGGCUGAUCUGGCUGGCUAGGCAGGUGUCCCCUUCCUCCCUCACCUUUCCAUGUGCGUCCCUCCCAAAGCUGUGCGUGCUCAGUCGAAGAGGACAACCUUCCCCGAUAGAGGAGGACUGUUCUUCCUUCAAGGGUAUACGAAUAGCUGUGCUCCCCUCCUAGAACCUCCAAACAAGCUUUCAAGGUCCAUUUGUAAGAGAGGGUAGGGUAGACAAGCUUCCAAGACUCCAGACACUUCCAAAUGAGGUGCUGCACGUGGCAGUCUGCCUUUCUUU
ensembl:misc_RNA 7SK 7SK RNA